rnacentral:misc_RNA from 1 species
GGAAGGAUCAUUAACACAUACGUCCAUUUGAAGGUUGGUGCCCCCCAUUUCUUACCCCCAAAAGCUCAUAGGGUGACCUAUGAAUUUUUGAGAGAGAGAGUGGCCCAAUCUUUCAAACCCCAAUGUAAACUAGGUUGAAGUCCAUAUUCUUAUUUAAUCAAACUUUGAUUCGAAUGGAAUAGGAGUGAAACUUAAAAGUUGAUAUCACGUUCAAUGAACUACGUUGAUGCCUAAAAAACAUUGAUAGUUAGUUGAUUCGACUGAUGUUUUAACAAAAACACUAAAUAAAUAUAAACCAAGACAACUUGUAACAGUGGAUACCUUGGUUCCCAGGUCGAUGAAGAGCGCAGCGAACUGCGAUAAGUCAUGUGAAUUGCAGAAUUCCGUGAAUCAUCGAACUCUUGAACGCAAAUUGCACUUGGGUGUUGAACCCAAGUGUGCCUGCUCGAGUGUCGGCAAUAAAUCCUCAAAACUACUUGUAGUUCUGAAAGUGAGAGUUCAUUUUUAACACAAUGAUCUCUUUAAAAGGAUGGAUGGCUGAUAUCGUAAAUUGAGACACUAGUUAUAUUAUACAGUAGUGUUGAUCAGAUUACAAUAUUGGUUGGAAUAAAUUAAGAUCUUAAUUGAUCAUCUAAUCUAUUCUAAACUAGUAGUCUAAUUUAUCAUUUAUUGUUUCUAGUGACUUGAGAUUCCAGAGAUCCCAGUCUAAGUGUAGAAGUACACGAGGACAAUCUUUCAAAAUCUCGACCUCGAAUUAGGCAAGAUCACCCGGUGGACUUAAGCAUAUUAUUAACCGGAGGAAAAGAAACUAACAAGGAUGCCCUUAGUAACGGCGAGUGAAGCGGGCAAAGCUCAAAUUUAAAAUCUGGGGUCCUUAUGGGCCUCCGAAUUGUAGUUUUUGGAUCGUUAAUCACGGGGCUGCUAGCGCGGGAGUAAGUUCUUUGGAACAAGGCGUCAGAGAGGGUGAGAACCCCGUAUGCGUCCCCGCUAGUAGUUCAAUAGGUGAUUAGCUUUUCACGAGUCGGGUUGUUUGGGAUUGCAGCCCUAAAUAGGUGGUAGAUCUCAUCUAAAGCUAAAUAUUCCUGGGAGACCGAUAGCGAAGAAGUAGUGUGAACGAAAGGUGAAAAGAACUUUGAAAAGAAGGUGAAAAGUACUUGAAGCUGUUCCAAGGGAACCGUAGAUGAGCAGUGACUGCUUGCUGACAAUUCAGCGUGCUUCAAAUCCACGUGUUGGCUACCUGGAGAUGUAUGUCCCAGAGUACUGAGCGUAGGGUAUGCGGCGCGUGUACUUUGUUAGUGAGCGAGUCAACAUCAGUUUGGUUCGUGCCGGAGAAAGACAGGGAGAAGGUAGGCUGACCUCUCGGGGUCAUCUGUUUAUAGCUCCUUGUUGCAUACGGUGCGCUGGACUGAGGAAGCAAAACGUACGCCUCGGCGAGGUAGUUAGCGGACCCACGGUUGUGACUUGAGUACGUCUGCUUGCAGGGUGCUUGAUCGAUAACUGUGGCGAAGUUGACCCAUCUGUACGUUAGGGAUGUUGACGAAAUGCUCUUCUAUGACCCGUCUUGAAACACGGACCAAGGAGUCUAACAUGUAUGCGAGUAUUUGGGUGGAAAACCCGAGUGCGCAACGAAAGUGAGAGAUGCGAGUUCGUAAGGAUGCAGCAUCGGCCAACUGUUCUUAGGAGCGGAUUGCGCCGGAGCACACAUGAUGGGACCCGAAAGAUGGUGAACUUUGCGUGCGCAGGGUGAAGCCAGAGGAAACUCUGGUGGAGGCUCGUAGAGAUACUGACGUGCAAAUCGUUCUUCUGACGUGCGUAAAGGGGCGAAAGACUAAUCGAACCAUCUAGUAGCUGGUUUACAC